AAAAUCGCAGCAAAAAUUGCAAGUGUAAACGAGCCUUUACGUUUUAAUGUUUUGUUUGGAUUAGAUUAUAAAAUAAUAGUAGACAAAAUAAAAAUACAUUUUUGUCUUCUUUCGUCUUUCUAUUAAUUUUCAUUUAUAAUUUUUAUUUAGAAAUCAGCUUAAAAAUACGUUGAAAACUCGGUUAAAUAACAUGUCCGACAACGCUACGAUUGAAAGAGCAGAUCUAAAAGUAGAGGUCGAAGAACCAACUGUGAUCCAAGAAAUGUUAGAAGACGAUGGAACUGCAACCACAACCCAAGAAGAGAAUUACGAAUUCAAAAACAAUUCGGCAAUGACGGACGACUCGAUAACUGCCGAUAAUUUAGAAGAAAUGAAAAUGGAACUAUUGCAACUGAAAUUACAGGAAAUGGAACUUUCGAAGCUGCAAGAUUCCGCAACUGGUGACAAAGAUGAUCAAGAAAUGCUACAAAAGUUGAAAUUGGAACUCGCCAUGGAGAAAGCAAAAAAAGAAAACACAAGAAGACAAAGAAUCAGAGAAGAAUGCGAAGGGGUGAGAAGAGAAAUAGCGAAGACCAAAGAAGAUGCAGUGGACGGACGGACAUUAACACAAGAUAAUGAUCAUAAAUAUACAUCAGAAUGCUCGAAAACGGUAGCUUCUGAAGCUGACGAACGAAUGCAGGAAGUAUUAAUCAAAUCGAGAAAGGAACUGCAAGACACGAAGCAAAAAGAACAAGAAGAAAUUAUUCAGAAAUUGAGACGUGAAUUAUCUGAACUGAAGGAAGCAAAAGAGGAGACCGCAAAAAGAGAAAAAGCUAGAAAAGAACGUGAACAGUUGAAAAGUGAAAUCGAAAGGUUGAAGAAAGAAAAGAAUGAAACCACAACAAGAGAAAUAGAAGAAUUUCAAAAGUUGAAAAAAGAAGUGGAAGAAUUGAAGGAAGCUGCUACGGGAGUACGAACAAGACAUAAGUGUGAAGAAUUGAAAAAAGAAGUGGAAGGAUUGAAAGAAGCUGCUACGGGAGUACGAACAAGACACAAGUGUGAAGAAUUGAAAAAAGAAGUGGAAGAAUUGAAGGAAGCUGCUACGGGAGUACGAACAAGAGAUAAGUGUGAAGAAUUGGAAAAGGUUAAGGCUAAGUUGGAAGAAUCUGCAACCAAAGUUCGCACGAAAACAAAAGUUGCCGAACUAGAAACGGAAAUACGAGCGGAAGAAGCGAGGAGAAGAGAAAUCAACCGUAUACUUCAGUUGAUGGCUGCUGCACAAGCAGUUGACUUGUGUUUUCUCGUUGAUUGCACUGGAAGCAUG